GCUACAGGCUUAACACAUGCAAGUCGAGGGGAAACGACAUCGAAAGCUUGCUUUUGAUGGGCGUCGACCGGCGCACGGGUGAGUAACGCGUAUCCAACCUGCCCACCACUUGGGGAUAACCUUGCGAAAGUAAGACUAAUACCCAAUGAUAUCUCUAGAAGACAUCUGAAAGGGAUUAAAGAUUUAUCGGUGAUGGAUGGGGAUGCGUCUGAUUAGCUUGUUGGCGGGGUAACGGCCCACCAAGGCUACGAUCAGUAGGGGUUCUGAGAGGAAGGUCCCCCACAUUGGAACUGAGACACGGUCCAAACUCCUACGGGAGGCAGCAGUGAGGAAUAUUGGUCAAUGGGCGAGAGCCUGAACCAGCCAAGUAGCGUGCAGGAUGACGGCCCUAUGGGUUGUAAACUGCUUUUAUAAGGGAAUAAAGUGAGCCUCGUGAGACUUUUUGCAUGUACCUUAUGAAUAAGGACCGGCUAAUUCCGUGCCAGCAGCCGCGGUAAUACGGAAGGUCCGGGCGUUAUCCGGAUUUAUUGGGUUUAAAGGGAGCGUAGGCCGGAGAUUAAGCGUGUUGUGAAAUGUAGAUGCUCAACAUCUGCACUGCAGCGCGAACUGGUUUCCUUGAGUACGCACAAAGUGGGCGGAAUUCGUGGUGUAGCGGUGAAAUGCUUAGAUAUCACGAAGAACUCCGAUUGCGAAGGCAGCUCACUGGAGCGCAACUGACGCUGAAGCUCGAAAGUGCGGGUAUCGAACAGGAUUAGAUACCCUGGUAGUCCGCACGGUAAACGAUGGAUGCCCGCUGUUGGUCUGAAUAGGUCAGCGGCCAAGCGAAAGCAUUAAGCAUCCCACCUGGGGAGUACGCCGGCAACGGUGCAACUCAAAUGAAUUGACGGA
rnacentral:rRNA from 1 species